GAUUAGUUAAUAAUAUAAAUAUAAAUUUAUUAGGUGAAAUUUUUAAAUUUAUUUAUUUGUUAUUAAAAAGAAUAAUUUAAGCUAUAAACUUUUUGUAAUAAACUAGGAUUAGAUACCCUAUUAUUGAAAAUAAACAUAAAAAUACUAAAGUAGUAUUAGUUAUAUUCUUAAAAUUUAAAAAAUUUGGCGGUGUUUUAGUCUAUUUAGAGGAAUCUGUCCUGUAAUUGAUAAUCCACAUUGAACCUUACUUAAAUUUGUUUAAUUUGUAUAUCGCCGUCAUCAGAAUAUGUUAUAAGAUAAAAAUUUUCUUAAUAUUUAAUUAAAUAAAAUGUCAGGUCAAGGUGCAGUUUAUGUUUAAGUAGAGAUGGAUUACAAUAAAUUUAUUUAAAUGGAUAAUUUUUUGAAAUAGAAAUUUGAAGGUGGAUUUAAUAGUAAUAUAAAAUAGAUUAUUUGUAUGAUUUUAGCUCUAAAACAUGUACAUAUCGCCCAUCGUUCUUAUUUUUAAAAUAAGAUAAGUUGUAACAUAGUAGAUGUACUGGAAAGUGUAUCUAGAAAGA
rnacentral:rRNA from 1 species